rnacentral:lncRNA from 1 species
AUGACAAGGAAGCAAACAACUGGGUACACAGAUUUUCAGCCGUGGCUACCCAAGAGGGCGCCUGCAGCACGACUCAGGUUGCUGGUUUCCAGAAAAACAAGAGGACCUGUGGUGUCUGCAUCGAACAUAUUCCUCAGAGAACCAGAAAUCUCCAGUGGAGAAAGAGGCUUUGGGCAAUACAGAGGGACAAUGUUUAAAUUCACAUUAUAUUGUAAUCAUUGCCCAGCUCUCACAAAAGAGCAGGUUAGUGAGGAAGACAUGGAGAAAAGAAAAGACCGGCAGAUUUAAAGAUGGGGAAAUUAAAUUUUUCCCAGUUGCCCAGUAAGUAGUGGUCUCACUCGCUGGCUUUCAGCGUGCAGACUUAAACCUAUGCCUUAAUCCACAUGCGGUGAGAUAGGAAGGAUUAUUGGCUGCUGAUGAUACCUGUUGACCGGUUUCUCUCCCUCUCAGUUUCAAAUCCUCUGUUGCUGUCAGCGACACAUGCUUUCCUGCUCGUCUGGGGUGGCCCAGCCUCAUUAGCAAAGGAUUUUGUGCAUGUUAGUUAAUUGAGCCCCGUUCCCGCCACCUGCCACUCGCGAGCCUCAUCUGCGCACUAACUGCCUCUAAUUGUCAUCAUACGGCCGGCGCGCCGCGACAACUUGAGAACAGACCCGGAGCAGCACGCACCGGCCCGGGCUCGGCAAUAACCCGGGGAGCAGCGGCGCGGCGAGUGUAACAAUUUACCAGGGGACCAGAUGUUUGGAGAGGAAAGGCACCUUGCGCUAACAUCAGGUGCUAAAGCUUCGGUGUUUAUUAUCAUGUCAGGUGCUGAGCCCGGCCGCAUCUCGCAGGCGAGACGGCUUGAUAAAUGGAUUCGCACUGGCCUUUCCGCCACCUUAUUGACAACGGACGUAUAAACAGGGGGGAGCAAGUACAAUCAUUUAAACAUAUGUGAAGUUUUGCAGCUCAUUAAUCUAUGGUGUAAAUCCCACAGCAGAAGUCCCGUCACUUGCUCGGACUAGACAGGACGAAGCAGGAGAAGAAAGGCAUCCCGGAGGGACGAGGCUAUGAUGGGGAGUGGACAAAUUGACCUACUAUGUUUUUGACAUCUCCAGCAUUUAUGCAUAAACUGCUGCUGCCGGGCAUUUUGUUUUGAGCAAAUGCAGUCUUCAAUCUUGGAGGAGCUGCUGGUCUAAGUGGGAAACCCCUGGUUUCCACUGAUCUCUAGGCUGUCCACACGUUGCAGAACAGUUCCCUGGUCUCAGGAACAGUGGCCUUAGAACAGAUAAUCCUACAAUAGCCUUUAAAA